AUUGAACGCUGGCGGCGUGCUUAACACAUGCAAGUCGAACGAAGUGGCGAACGGGUGAGUAACGCGUAAUCAACCUGCCCUUCAGUGGGGGACAACAGUUGGAACCGACUGCUAAUACCGCAUACUGAAGGUGGGGAUUGCGUCUGAUUAGCUAGUUGGAGGGGUAACGGCCCACCAAGGCGAUGAUCAGUAACCGGUCUGAGAGGAUGAACGGCCAAAUUGGGAAUGGGACACGGUCCAGACUCCUACGGGAGGCAGCAGGGGGGAAUCUUUCGCAAUGGGCGAAAGGCUGACGGAGCAAAGCCGCGGGAGGGAUGACGGCCUUCGGGUUGUAAAGCUCUGUUAAUCGGGAAGCGUUACCGGAAUAGAAAGCAACGGCUAACUACGUGCCAGCAGCCGCGGUAAUAC
rnacentral:rRNA from 1 species